rnacentral:lncRNA from 1 species
UCGGAGUGGAGACUCAUGAACAUAUGUACCUAUACAUAUAUUAAUCAGUACUAUACAUACUCGCUACACGUUAUAAAACCCCAUUUGUUAGUCUUUUUUUAUACGUUGUAAUUUAUUUUAUUUUAUUUUUUUUUUUAACUGUUAAAAUUGUUUUAUUCCUAUAUAACAUCAUUUUUUUUUUAAAAAAACGUUUUUGUUAGUAUUUACACCUCAACCAUGAUGGGGCCAUUGUAGAUCAGCAGUUACAAAUACAGUUUUAAUAAUAUCAUAAAAAAAAUAAUGUAAGAAAAAAAAUUUACAAAAAUAGUAGCCAAAAAUGUACAUAUAUUUAUUAUUCCACUUCUAAAUAUGAAAAAAAUACAAAAUUUAAAGAAGAGCUAUAUAAAUACCAUUAUAAUCCAUAUAUUGAUGAUGCAAAUAUAAGACCAUAUUUAAUUUUAAAAAGUGAAGUGGAGAAAAUAACACAUGAUAAAAGAUUAAAACGAAAUGUACCAUUAGUAUAUAAAAAAAUAAAACAAAGUUUGUUAUGGAGGUCUAAAAUAAUAAAAAAACAAAACGAUUAUGAUCCUUUUAUUUUAACUAGCGAUAUAUCAGAUAAUGGUCCUACUGUAUUGGGGGAGUAUGUUACUAAUGGAGGGAAUUCCAAUACAGACAU